AAUUUGAUACCAUUGUCUAACUAAACCCACUCUAUUACCAAGUUAUAACUUCUUUUUUGGUCAAAUACACCGAGUUCAAAUUGCAUCUCAUACUUACCGUAUUUGAGAUGAAAUGACAUCGAUAUUUUGUUGAGAUAUUGUAUAAAAUUGAUAUGAUUUUGACGCUAAUGGUGCAAAUACAAGUCCAUCAAACCCCCAUACUGACUGAAAACGAGAUUGAUAUACAUUGUAGCAGAUAAUUUUGCUCCUCCUUUUUUUUU
rnacentral:lncRNA from 1 species